UGAGUUCUCCAUUCUCCCUGCACCUGCACGUCACCACCCCGUCCGGUCAGCUUGUGCCAUGACUGCAUAACCUUUUCUUAGCACCCCUUUGAGCAGGGCAACCCCAGAGGACAAGGCAGCUGCAUGGCACACUCCUGGCGGAAAGAAUCCGCGUCUUCCGAGGGGUGGGGGCGGCCUUUGGGAUUCGCAAGGCGGCCCAGAGCGAGCCCCCAAGCCCUGGGGCGUGGACAGGCCGUUUCACACGGAUACCUGGGGCUCUAAGGAACCGAAUGAAAUAAAGCUCUUUAACUCCACUUGCCUAACACGGGGCCCUGAGAGCCGGUGCAGCCUCGCUUGAGGUUACAGGACGGAGCCCACACUUGCCUCUUUCCUGUGUCUGCCUCCGAGCCGCCUCGCCCUACCCCAGGCCCUUGAAAAGAAACUUAGGGUUGCCUAGAAGAGACAGACCCCAUGAAAACCAGUUGUUUGCCCCCGUGGACAGGUCGCCACCCGCAUCAAGCGGCUCUCCAUCAAGGGUUUGCCAAGGGUCUGAGACUUGCCACCUUCUUCCCUCCCGCCUGCCCCAAUCCGUGCAGGUGGUUGGGUUACCUCCUACUGAGGGAGAGCCCACUUGGCUGAAUUGCAGGCAUUGGUUUGAGAAGCCAUCUGCUAAAGCUGCCAGAGAAAAAUGCGACGGAAAGGAACUGAAGUCAAGUAAGCAACCAAGGCAGCCGGAUCCCUUCAGAGAAUCAGAAAUGCUUCAAAGGCCAUACUCUAGGAAAUUGCCUAAAAGCCACAAGGCCACAGCAACCAACAGCGUGAAAUCUCAACUACAUCAAACUGUAGCCUACGGAGAAGCACUGUCAGAGGCUUGAGACAGGAGGCCGGUCCGUGUGGCCUUCAGCUGGGAGAAGCCACGUUUGAAGGAUCAUAGGGGAUCACGCCCAGGACGUGAUGGUAAGGGUGACUCCCACCGGCUGGGAGCACAGCUUUGGUGCUGCCACCACCAUCGAACUAGUCCCGGUCAACAUCUUCCACCGUUUGCUGAGUGGAAGAAGCCGGUCACACCUGCAUGGUUCUAUUUAUGUGAACUGCUGGAGCAAGCAAAACCUAUCUGUGCACUAGAAGGUCGAUGAGUGGCUUCCUGGGGCAGGUGCUGGUGAUGGAAACGGGCAGCGCGGGGACGCAAGCGAUGGAAGAGAGGGCUGGAAAUGCUCUGUGCCUCCCGUGGGUGUACCUCAUAGACGUUUGGCAAAAGCCGUUGACUUGUAUGAAUAAAAUGUAUGAAAUUUUGCUGCAGGCAAAUGGUUCCUUAAUACAUUGGUCAAAAAUAAUAAAAUUAUUAAAAGCACUUACAUCAUAUCCCUAUUAUUGAACAG